AUCGCAGCAGUGGACAAAACACACGCGAUGGUUGCUGCGCACGCGUACAUGGAUCACCGGCAAAUUGUGACAAAAUACUUUGCGGUGGAUUCGACCCAUUUGUGGCAGGCGCGUUUAGAGAAUUGAAAAAGGGUUAUAUUAACCUUCAUUACGGAUAUUAAAACCUACAUAGAAAACAACAUGUUGAAGUUUCCCCCCCGAGCCUCGAGUGCAGAUGAUGAGAUGUUUGGAAAAGAGGAAGCACUGUCGCUCGCCUUCCUUCUUCAGAGACAAAGAACCCAGACGGCCUCUGGUGAUCUUGCCUUUCUCGCUCAUUGGCACCUGGAUCAGAGAACCUGUGGAAGGUGGCGUGAAAUGAGGGUGAGGCGGAAGAUUGGAGAGGCAUUCUGGCGGUGACAUUUGACAAAGGUCACGGAUGAGAUUCAAACCUGCGCAACGGCGGCCCCCGACCCACAGGUGUAGGUGAGAGUAGUCGUAUUAUGUAACGGCCUUUUUCUGAAGCAUCCUUUAAUCACGGUUAAAGUGGAUGGAAAGGAAGCUCGGUAAGUCAUAAUAGAAUUCGAUGAUUUCUUUCACCAACAGGGGACACAAAAACCUCCUGUCAGGCUCCAGUUGUCACUCCACUCCACCUCCCCAGACAUACCGUCAAAAAACAAAACUUCACAAAGACAGCUACCCACAAAAUGGCACGCAGCAGAACACUGACUGUAACGCAUUGCAAUGUGUAGCUAGCGACUGGCCUUUGACCUCAACUGCCUCAGCCGUGUUGUGUCAGAGAUCAUUCAAAGUUCUUCUCAAAGUCGUAAACAGUCGAUCUUAAUUAUAAAA